CAUCUGUCCGUCUGCUGCGUCAGUGGGGCGCCAGCUGGGCAGGCGAACCACGGAGGACAGGGAUUGGUCGAAAGGAUGGGCUCGUUAUUUAUCGAGGCCGCGAUAACAAUACAAGCAAUUUAAUUAUCUUUUGCGGUUGUUUCGUUGAGCUUAUCAGUUCAUUAACGGUUUAAUUCGUUUUGUUCGCCGAGAGUUUCAAAACAGACCCUCAUUUUCAUCGUAUUAUACCCAGCCCGACUUUCAAUAUUUGCUUGUGCAUGGCACAUUUUAUGCAAAUAAUCCUAAACGACGUUUUUUUACGAGCACAUUCGAAACUGUUCAUUUUCUCUCACUGUAAAGAACAUUCCAAAUAUGUAAUGUAAUUUACUGCAAAUUUAACGAUGACAUAUUUAAAAAUGCAUAUAAAGCGUAUAGGCCUAGGCUAUAACUAUUAUAUAUUUAGUAGGCUCUGUUACUGCGUGUGAUAUUCCCUUAGCUCGGCUCAGCUCAGGGCAUGCAGCUUCCCGAAAUGACCCACGUGUCCUCCCUGCAGUCAGCAAAUUCGCAGGCUUCUAAAUCGUGAUGCAGAAAAUAACAGUCGUGUUGGAGUCGCCGGGUGCAUUUGUGUCGGUGCUGAAAAAUAUCUCACUGUGGCUAAAAUCACACACCUGCGUGUCCUUAUGAAGUUGAGGGGGAAGCGGAAGGCGUGCCUUAAACUGAUGGUGAAUGAUCCCCAAACACACACGGAGAGGUUUUGCCCAUCGUUGUGACCCCUGCCUCGGCACAAUGCUCCUUUGUCAUGUGAGUCGCGGCCCUCUUCCGCUCACAGACCUCGCCGGCCUCCUCUCCUUGCGCGCCCCGCCGCGCCAGGGUGCGCCGAUCGUCUGGCGAACGGAUUUCAGGGGAAAUGCAGAACGCCGGCUAACAAUACGGCAGCGAGCAAGUGACCUAACUGGACCGAAGACAAUGGACAAAAGUGAUGCGGGAGUAUGGCCUUUGCGGUCGCACAAAUGGACACGUUAAAUAGCUAUUGUGCUGUAUCAUAUCUCCUCCUGGUUUAUUUAAUUAUAUUUUAUGCUAUUGUUGUCUGGGAAAAGGCACCGGCUAUACUUACAAUGGUCUGGAUUUAAAACGUGCUAACUGACACACAAUAAAGAAUGCGAGGUAUGAAACAUCCUUCAGUGUGGGUGUUAUUCCGGUUCAAGUGCAAUUAGUGGCCACUGGGCCCUUUAACCCUAAUUAGAAAAGCAAAUCGAUGUGUGAGCUGGCGCACACCUACAGCAUCUAUUGAUCGCAGCCUUUUAUCACUGAGUGUCCUUUUGUGUGCCUAUUGAAGUCCCUUUUCCUGGGAACCUGCACUGAUGUCCAAGUAUUUGAGUAUCAACACAAGUCCCUCUCACUGAUAUCUAGCUCUAUCUGUAUAUGCAUGCAUUUACUGGAAGACUUAUGCAGAUUGCAUAAACAACUCAUGUAUUUCACUCAGAAAUGUGCAUGCUUAUAAACCGGAUAACAUCUAGCCUACAAUAUUUUCCCCCUUGUUCAUAUUGAAAAUGGCUUUCCAGAUGCAACAGGAAUGUAAAGCUGUCUUAAUUUCUUUAUCUUUUACAUAUUUGUGCAUACAUUAUUAAAUUAA